UUUCUUAUGAUGAGCAAUUACUUUCGCCCCUAACUGAAAAAUAUAACUGUUGAAUGCGAUUGAUUGGUCUUACUGAGCAGAGGCU
rnacentral:snoRNA from 1 species